GCCUGGUUAGCUCAAUCGGUAGAGCGUGAGACUCUUAGCAGAGAACACGUUUCUGAUGCAAUCUCAAGGUUGCGGGUUCGACCCCCGCAUCGGGCU
rnacentral:tRNA from 2 species